rnacentral:rRNA from 1 species
AGUGAACGCUGGCGGUAGGCCUAACACAUGCAAGUCGAACGGCAGCACAGGAGAGCUUGCUCUCUGGGUGGCGAGUGGCGGACGGGUGAGGAAUACAUCGGAAUCUACUCUGUCGUGGGGGAUAACGUAGGGAAACUUACGCUAAUACCGCAUACGACCUACGGGUUAAAGCAGGGGACCUUCGGGCCUUGCGCGAUUGAAUGAUCCGAUGUCGGAUUAGCUAGUUGGCGGGGUAAAGGCCCACCAAGGCGACGAUCCGUAGCUGGUCUGGGAGGAUGAUCAGCAACACUGGAAGUGGAAAACGGUCCAGACUCCUACGGGGGGCAGCAGUGGGGAAUAUUGGACAAUGGGCGCAAGCCUGAUCCAGCCACACCGCGUGGGUGAAGAAGGCCUUCGGGUUGUAAAGCCCUUUUGUUGGGAAAGAAAUCCAGCUGGCUAAUACCCGGUUGGGAUGACGGUACCCAAAGAAUAAGCACCGGCUAACUUCGUGCCAGCCGCCGCGGUAA